AAUGAACGCUGGCGGCAUGCCUAACACAUGCAAGUCGAACGAGACCUUCGGGUCUAGUGGCGCACGGGUGCGUAACGCGUGGGAAUCUGCCCUUGGGUUCGGAAUAACAGUGAGAAAUUACUGCUAAUACCGAAUGAUGACGUAAGUCCAAAGAUUUAUCGCCCAGGGAUGAGCCCGCGUAGGAUUAGCUAGUUGGUGAGGUAAAAGCUCACCAAGGCGACGAUCCUUAGCUGGUCUGAGAGGAUGAUCAGCCACACUGGGACUGAGACACGGCCCAGACUCCUACGGGAGGCAGCAGUGGGGAAUAUUGGACAAUGGGCGAAAGCCUGAUCCAGCAAUGCCGCGUGAGUGAUGAAGGCCUUAGGGUUGUAAAGCUCUUUUACCCGGGAUGAUAAUGACAGUACCGGGAGAAUA
rnacentral:rRNA from 1 species